UACGGGGGGAGCAAGCGUUGUUCGGAUUUACUGGGCGUAAAGGGCGCGUAGGCGGCCACCGCAAGUCGACUGUGAAAUCUCCGGGCUUAACCCCGGAAAGGUCAGCCGAUACUGCGGGGCUAGAGUGCAGAAGGGGCAACUGGAAUUCUCGGUGUAGCGGUGAAAUGCGUAGAUAUCGAGAGGAACACCUGCGGCGAAGGCGGCCUGCUGGGCAGUAGCUGACGCUGAGGCGCGACAGCGUGGGGAGCAAACAGG
rnacentral:rRNA from 1 species